rnacentral:rRNA from 1 species
UACGUAGGGUGCAAGCGUUGUCCGGAAUUAUUGGGCGUAAAGAGCUCGUAGGCGGUUUGUCGCGUCUGCUGUGAAAACUCGGGGCUUAACUCCGGGCCUGCAGUGGGUACGGGCAGACUAGAGUGCGGUAGGGGAGACUGGAAUUCCAGGUGUAGCGGUGAAAUGCGUAGAUAUCUGGAGGAACACCGGUGGCGAAGGCGGCAUCCUGGACCGGUAUUGACACUGAGGCGCGAAAGCCAGGGGAGCAAACGGG